UACCCGUAGGUCCGAGCUUGUG
rnacentral:miRNA from 1 species